ensembl:lncRNA
AAAAAAAAUAACAAAGGAAAUACACAGGCAAGAACAUGGAGCCUGAAUGAGCAAUAACUGUAUGAAGAAAAACUGAAACUCUCUAAGAAUCAGGAUAAAAGCAAACUAAAACCAAGAUGAAAUACCACUUUGUGUGCCCAAAUUAGGAAGGUGGAUAAUAUCAAAUAUUAACAAAAAUGUGAGGGUCUGGGGCCUCUCAAUCACUGAUGAGGGAGUCUAAGUGUGAUAGCCAUGCUGGCAAGGACUUUAGCAGUACUUUGAAAAAUUAUGUUUGCAAUUUCCUAUAAACCAAUGAUUCCACUCCUAGGUAUAAUUUCCUUUCUCCCUACAAAGAUUGCACAAGGAUGUAGGAGAUGAAUCAAUCAGGAACCAAACAAGAAAAUAAAAAUCAUGCUAGUAUUUCAAAUGGAGGUAUUUAAUACAGGGAGCUGAUGUUGGAAGGAUAAAGAGUUCAAAUAAAACAUUGGGGUAACUCAGAGAAGAGUAAUUGUGGGUACCGGCUACCACUUCUAGAACUGGAGGAACAAAAGGAAAGACGUGGUGUGACCACAACAUAGGGGCUUUGAGGAGGGGCUUUUUGGAGUUGGUGCUCAGACCUCUGAAGGGAAGGUGUCACAAGGCUGGUGAAUGGACCACUGAAGGGUAUACAGCUGGGGCUCAGAGUGCUCAUCUUCUGCUACCAAGAGGUGCGCUGCUGCUGCUGUGAUCUCUGAAAGAAGUGCAGGGCUGGAGCUGGAGCUGCCUGCUGCUGACGGAAGAACACCAGUAGAAGCUGGGCUGGCCCAGUGGCGCAGCGGUUAAGUUCGCACGUUCCACUUCUUGGCAGCCCGGGGUUCGCUGGUUUGGAUCCCAGGUGCGGACAUGGCACCGCUUGGCACACCAUGCUGUGGCGUUGUGUCAUCUCACAUCAUCACAAGAAGAAGAAGGCAGUGACUCAGAGUUUAGUGUGUACUGGAAUCAUCUGAGGGAGCUGGGUACAACGCAAACUCCUGUGCCCCACCUGAGACAGCUGAAACGGGCUGUCGGGAAAAUGAUUCUCAGGAGCCUGUGUUUCAAUAAGCUGAAUUCUCAAAAUUCAGAGUCCCUGAGUCAAAGUCAACCAUCAGAGGAGUCUGGUGUCGCCCAGGAACGGGUCCACUUUAGUUGCUCACUGGCUGGGAGUGGUCGUGGCAGCAUGGCCUCAGCAGAAAAGCAGCGAUGGAGUCCAGGGGGCAGCAGACAGGCCUGGAGUUCGAGGUCUGCCAGGAAGAUCAGCCCUGAGCUAACUACUGCAAAUCUUCCUCUCUUUUUGCUGAGGAAGACUGGCCCUGAGCUAACAUCCAUGCCCAUCUUCCUCUACUUUACACAUGGGACGCCUACCACAGCAUGGAUUGAUAAUCGGUGCCAUGUCUGCACCCGGGAUCUGAACCGGCAAACCCUGGGCUGCUGAAGCGGAACGCGAGAACUUCAUCACUGCACCACUAGACCUUGAAAAGUUAAAUGAAAUAACAUCAGUGUGAUGCUUUGCAUGCAGAAGCAAAGCACAAAAUAAAUGCAAGGCACUUUUUUGUCACUAGCAAUGUAAUGAUACAGCUAGGCCACAGUAUCAAAAGAAUAUCAUGGCCAAUUUAAGAAAACAUAGAGGAAGAUACGGCUUCAAACGUAAAUAACAAGAGUGCCGAGUCUGCAUGGGUGAGGGCCCCAGCCAGUCUGCCCAGAGACCUUGGAGAGAGAAGGCCCAGCCAGGACAGCCAGCCAAACCUGCUGGAAGCUGGCCUUGCCACAAAUGGAGCUGGAGGUUGGAUUAUUCGUGCUGGAAUUUUCUCUUUCUGAAAGACUGGAAUGCAGUUGGGUUAAGAAGUCCUGGAGAAGACAGGAGACUAGAGAAGGAAGGGGAAUUUAAGCCUAAAGCAAGCAGAAGAAAAAUAAUAAAAAAUUAAAGCAGGAAUCAAUGAAAUUAAAAACUGGAAAUUGAUAGAGAAAUCAAAACCUGGUUCUUUGAAAAGAUCCAUCACAUUGAUAAACUUUUGGCAAGGCUAACCAAAAAGAAAAGAGAAAAUUUCCAAAUUCAUGAUAUCAGAAAUGAAAGAGGGGUCAUCACUACUGAUCCCAUUGACAUUAAAAUGAUAAUUAAGGAAUAUUAUUGAUGAUGCUAUGCCCACAAAUUUGAUCACUUAAAUAAAAUGUACUAAUUCCUUGAAAGAUGCCAACUAUCAAAAUUGACACAAAGAGAAAUAGAUAAUCUGAAUAUGCCUAUGUAUUAGUCAGGGUUCUUCAGAGAAAC